rnacentral:sRNA from 1 species
UUACAAGGGAUAGGGCUCUCUCCAUGCGCCCUUUAGCCAACUCUUUGAGCGAGGUGAAGGGAAAUCAAGGGUUUGCUUCUGGGAAAAGAGCAACUCUUUAUGAAAAGGAAAUGGUGCACACCCCUGGCCGUCCUUGCCCAAAAUGGGAGUGGCUCAAGGUCCCUUCCCUAACCUGAGAAGAGGCGCCACCUUUCGUAGCACCGCCGCAGGUGGCUAAGGCUGGAUUUUUGGACAGCUCCGGGUCAGUGGAUGGAGUAAACAAGCUUCGAGGACCCCGGCACCUUCAAGCUGCCAACCUUCGGUGUAAUAAACUAACUGCAGACAAUGAUUCUACCUUGAUAAUCCAGGCAGACCACAGUGGAUCAAGCAUUACUGGUUUCUCCCAUUUCUUCAGUGAACAGAAAGUAUUAGAGAUCUUCUUCAAUCUUUGCACAUUGCCUCCUUUCCAAGGAACAAUGGAAUUGCCAUUAGGUGGAAGAGGAUUGAUCCUGAGUCUAAUUUUCCUCCUGUUAAAAUUGUCAACAGCUGAAAUACCACUCUCAGGUAAAAACACAGAUUCCCUGCUAUGGAAGUUUGUAUCUGUAUUUUAAGUAGAACACAUAUGGAAUGAGGAUGUAGUUUUUCUAUUGCAAUAUCUGAAUCAUCAUGAAGGUUCAUGGUUAUGUUUUUCAGGCUAGGAUACAUAGCUGAACACAUAACUUUUCAACUUAGUUAUUUUGUUUUUCAAGCAUCCGUUUAUAAGAAAUAUAAUAUAGAUAUCAGAAUAUUUGUCAUAUGUCUAAGAUGAUAUGGAAUAUUACA